rnacentral:rRNA from 1 species
AUCCUGGCUCAGAGCGAACGCUGGCGGCGUGCCUAACACAUGCAAGUCGAACGGUUCUGUUGGGGGCUUGCUCUCGACAGAGUAGUGGCAAACGGGUGAGUAACACGUGGGUAAUCUUCCUUCGAGUGAGGAAUAACUUCGGGAAACCGGAGCUAAUACCGCAUAACAUCUUGGAACGGCAGUUCUAAGAUCAAAGGGGGCGCAAGCUCCCGCUUGAAGUUGAGCUCGCGUCCUAUCAGCUAGUUGGUGAGGUAAUGGCUCACCAAGGCUCCGACGGGUAGCCGGCCUGAGAGGGUGGCCGGCCACACUGGGACUGAGACACGGCCCAGACUCCUACGGGAGGCAGCAGUGGGGAAUAUUGCGCAAUGGACGAAAGUCUGACGCAGCGACGCCGCGUGGGUGAUGAAGGCCUUCGGGUCGUAAAGCCCUGUUGAGGGAGAGAAAGCUACUGUCGGUUAAUACCCGGCAGUGGUGAUAGUAUCCCUAGAGAAAAGCACCGGCUAAACUACGUGCC